rnacentral:rRNA from 1 species
GACGAACGCUGGCGGCGUGCUUAACACAUGCACGUCGAACGGAAAGGCCCUGCUUUUGUGGGGUGCUCGAGUGGCGGACGGGUGAGUAACACGUGAGUAACCUGCCCUUGACUUUGGGAUAACUUCAGGAAACUGGGGCUAAUACCGGAUAGGAGCUCCUGCUGCAUGGUGGGGGUUGGAAAGUUUCGGCGGUUGGGGAUGGACUCGCGGCUUAUCAGCUUGUUGGUGGGGUAGUGGCUUACCAAGGCUUUGACGGGUAGCCGGCCUGAGAGGGUGACCGGCCACAUUGGGACUGAGAUACGGCCCAGACUCCUACGGGAGGCAGCAGUGGGGAAUAUUGCACAAUGGGCGGAAGCCUGAUGCAGCAACGCCGCGUGCGGGAUGACGGCCUUCGGGUUGUAAACCGCUUUCGCCUGUGACGAAGCGUGAGUGACGGUAAUGGGUAAAGAAGCACCGGCUAACUACGUG